rnacentral:rRNA from 1 species
CCUACGGGAGGCAGCAGUGGGGAAUAUUGCACAAUGGGCGCAAGCCUGAUGCAGCCAUGCCGCGUGUGUGAAGAAGGCCUUCGGGUUGUAAAGCACUUUCAGCGGGGAGGAAAGCGUUAAGGUUAAUAACCUUGGCGAUUGACGUUACCCGCAGAAGAAGCACCGGCUAACUCCGUGCCAGCAGCCGCGGUAAUACGGAGGGUGCAAGCGUUAAUCGGAAUUACUGGGCGUAAAGCGCACGCAGGCGGUCUGUCAAGUCGGACGUGAAAUCCCCGGGCUCAACCUGGGAACUGCAUUCGAAACUGGCAGGCUAGAGUCUUGUAGAGGGGGGUAGAAUUCCAGGUGUAGCGGUGAAAUGCGUAGAGAUCUGGAGGAAUACCGGUGGCGAAGGCGGCCCCCUGGACAAAGACUGACGCUCAGGUGCGAAAGCGUGGGGAGCAAACAGGAUUAGAUACCCUAGUAGUC